rnacentral:rRNA from 1 species
CAGAAUGAACGCUGGCGGCAUGCCUAACACAUGCAAGUCGAACGAAGGCUUCGGCCUUAGUGGCGCACGGGUGCGUAACGCGUGGGAAUCUGCCCUCAGGUUCGGAAUAACAGCGAGAAAUUGCUGCUAAUACCGGAUGAUAUCGCGAGAUCAAAGAUUUAUCGCCUGAGGAUGAGCCCGCGUAGGAUUAGCUAGUUGGUGUGGUAAAGGCGCACCAAGGCGACGAUCCUUAGCUGGUCUGAGAGGAUGAUCAGCCACACUGGGACUGAGACACGGCCCAGACUCCUACGGGAGGCAGCAGUGGGGAAUAUUGGACAAUGGGCGAAAGCCUGAUCCAGCAAUGCCGCGUGAGUGAUGAAGGCCUUAGGGUUGUAAAGCUCUUUCACCCGGGAUGAUAAUGACAGUACCGGGAGAAUAAGCUCCGGCUAACUCCGUGCCAGCAGCCGCGGUAAUACGGAGGGAGCUAGCGUUAUUCGGAAUUACUGGGCGUAAAGCGCACGUAGGCGGCUUUGUGAGUUAGAGGUGAAAGCCUGGAGCUCAACUCCAGAAUUGCCUUUAAGACUGCAUCGCUUGAAUCCAGGAGAGGUGAGUGGAAUUCCGAGUGUAGAGGUGAAAUUCGUAGAUAUUCGGAAGAACACCAGUGGCGAAGGCGGCUCACUGGACUGGUAUUGACGCUGANGUGCGAAAGCGUGGGGAGCAAACAGGAUAAAUACCCUGGUAGUCCNCGCCGUAAACGAUGAUAACUA